GUGCAGCAGUCGCGAAAACCUCACAAUGUGCGAAAGCACGAUGAGGGAGUCCCAAGUGCUUGCACGUAAGUGUAAGCUGUUUCUCUGUCUAAAACGCAGAGAGAGUAAGGGCUGGGUAAGACGGGUGCCAGCCGCCGCGGUAAUACCUGCAGCUCGAGUGGUGACCGUUAUUAUUGGGCCUAAAACGUCCGUAGCCGGUUUAAUAAAUGCCUGGGUAAAUCGGACCGCUUAACGGUUCGAAUUCCGGGUAGACUGUUAAACUUGAGACCGGGAGAAGUUAGAGGUACUCCUGGGGUAGAGGUGAAAUUCUGUAAUCCUAGGGGGACCACCAGUGGCGAAGGCGUCUAACUAGAACGGGUCUGACGGUGAGGGACGAAGCCCUGGGGCGC
rnacentral:rRNA from 1 species